CAUAUUAUGUCCGAUAAAGGAGCUAUCUUGAUGUGAUAGACAUGCUAAAUUAGCUAAUAUGA
rnacentral:tRNA from 1 species